rnacentral:misc_RNA from 1 species
GAUGAAGAACGCAGCGAAAUGCGAUAGGUAAUGUGAAUUGCAGAAGUCAGUGAAUCAUCGAAUCUUUGAACGCACAUUGCGCCCUUUGGUAUUCCUUAGGGCAUGCCUGUUCGAGCGUCACUACACACCUUAUCACAAUAUUUGUGGUCUUGGCAGGAGUGAAUUGCUGGUCUAUGGAAGUAUUCCAGCAGUACACAAUGCUAAAAAAUAUGGGAAGGUUACCAGAUAUGAACAACAGACUUUGUAAAUGGUUGUAGGACCUAGAUCAGUCACAAGUCAUGUCUGGUCCCUUACCUUAAGGACCCCCAUCCUAGAUGAACUAUGGGUUGACCUCGGAUCAGGUAGGAAUACCCGCUGAACUUAAGCAUAUCAAUAAGCGGAGGA